rnacentral:rRNA from 1 species
AAAAAAAAAAAGAAAUGCCCGAUCUCAUCUGAACUCGGAAGUAAAGCAGGGUCGGGCCUGGUAAGUACUUGGAUGGGAGACCGCCUGGGAAUACCAGGU